rnacentral:tRNA from 1 species
GGUGGCUCAGUGGUAGAGCGCUUGCUUUGCAUGCAUGAGGCCAUGGGUUCGAUUCUCCAACACCA